UCAACCUCAGCAUGUAGGCUAAAUGCAGUUUUGAGCUCAUAAUGUGAAUCUUGUCUGUAUGUUACAGGGACAGAAGAACACGCAUGUGUUUAUCCGGUGGAGGCUUUGAGUGAGUAUACUACAGAAAUGGAUAGAAAUUACAACAUUUUUCUGAGUCUUGAUUUCUGUGCAUUUGCUGCAGAGCUUUUGUGGUGGAGCAGGACCUGCAAGGAAAGAUGAUGGCAGUAUUUGUUUGGGAUAAAAAGUUUUGGGGAUUUUACUCAAAUAUAAAGAUCUGAAAUGUCUGCAGACUGGUGUGAGCACUGCGGAUGAGGAGCCCAGAGCUGAAUCCUGGAAGUGGUCCCAUGGAUGAGAUGCUCCAUCUGCCCUUAUGAGUCCCUCUAUCGCUCCACCUGCCCUUAUUGCCUCAGAUUGUGAAGUGCAGCACAGCAACAAGCUCUGGGACGAAGGCACAGUCCCCUCUGGUGAAUUCAUCAGAAUAAAGCUGCAGAAUGGGAACCGCUGUGUUGAGUCGGCAGUAGGAUGUGGUGUUCAGCGCCUGUGAAUACAUGCUUGUAGUUUGAAUAAAGCUUUGUUUCAUGUGUUGUUGA